rnacentral:rRNA from 1 species
AACGCUAGCGACAGGCUUAACACAUGCAAGUCGAGGGGCAGCACAGGUAGCAAUACCGGGUGGCGACCGGCGCACGGGUGAGUAACGCGUAUGCAACUUGCCUAUCAGAGGGGGAUAACCCGGCGAAAGUCGGACUAAUACCGCAUGAAGCAGGGGCCCCGCAUGGGGAUAUUUGCUAAAGAUUCAUCGCUGAUAGAUAGGCAUGCGUUCCAUUAGGCAGUUGGCGGGGUAACGGCCCACCAAACCGACGAUGGAUAGGGGUUCUGAGAGGAAGGUCCCCCACAUUGGUACUGAGACACGGACCAAACUCCUACGGGAGGCAGCAGUGAGGAAUAUUGGUCAAUGGCCGAGAGGCUGAACCAGCCAAGUCGCGUGAGGGAUGAAGGUUCUAUGGAUCGUAAACCUCUUUUAUAAGGGAAUAAAGUGCGGGACGUGUCCCGUUUUGUAUGUACCUUAUGAAUAAGGAUCGGCUAACUCCGUGCCAGCAGCCGCGGUAAUACGGAGGAUCCGAGCGUUAUCCGGAUUUAUUGGGUUUAAAGGGUGCGUAGGCGGCCUUUUAAGUCAGCGGUGAAAGUCUGUGGCUCAACCAUAGAAUUGCCGUUGAAACUGGGGGGCUUGAGUAUGUUUGAGGCAGGCGGAAUGCGUGGUGUAGCGGUGAAAUGCAUAGAUAUCACGCAGAACCCCGAUUGCGAAGGCAGCCUGCCAAGCCAUUACUGACGCUGAUGCACGAAAGCGUGGGGAUCAAACAGGAUUAGAUACCCUGGUAGUCCACGCAGUAAACGAUGAUCACUAGCUGUUUGCGAUACACUGUAAGCGGCACAGCGAAAGCGUUAAGUGAUCCACCUGGGGAGUACGCCGGCAACGGUGAAACUCAAAGGAAUUGACGGGGGCCCGCACAAGCGGAGGAACAUGUGGUUUAAUUCGAUGAUACGCGAGGAACCUUACCCGGGUUUGAACGCAUUCGGACCGAGGUGGAAACACCUUUUCUAGCAAUAGCCGUUUGCGAGGUGCUGCAUGGUUGUCGUCAGCUCGUGCCGUGAGGUGUCGGCUUAAGUGCCAUAACGAGCGCAACCCUUGCCACUAGUUACUAACAGGUAAAGCUGAGGACUCUGGUGGGACUGCCAGCGUAAGCUGCGAGGAAGGCGGGGAUGACGUCAAAUCAGCACGGCCCUUACAUCCGGGGCGACACACGUGUUACAAUGGCGUGGACAAAGGGAAGCCACCUGGCGACAGGGAGCGAAUCCCCAAACCACGUCUCAGUUCGGAUCGGAGUCUGCAACCCGACUCCGUGAAGCUGGAUUCGCUAGUAAUCGCGCAUCAGCCAUGGCGCGGUGAAUACGUUCCCGGGCCUUGUACACACCGCCCGUCAAGCCAUGGGAGCCGGGGGUACCUGAAGUCCGUAACCGCGAGGAUCGGCCUAGGGUAAAACUGGUGACUGGGGCUAAGUCAUA